rnacentral:lncRNA from 7 species
ACUGAGAAAGGCCAUUAAUUACAGUCAGAAUUUCCCUUCCAGCAGGGUUGGAAUCAUGGCUAGUAAAUGGGAAAGAAACUGAACAAUGUGCAGGUGAUUUACAACAAAUCAGGUACAAAUUUAAACCAGAGUGCAAGCCAUAUGCGAUGAUGGGAGCCAAGGUGUGUAUCAUUCCAGUGGUUAAAUAUGCACAAAAAUUCAGUAUGUGAUAAAUGUGAUAAAUAAUAAUAUGCAUGAUUAUAACUAUUAUCAUUAAGUAACGACUAAUAACUGCAACAAAACUGGGCUGUUUUCCCUUCUACAGAAUCUUGUGAUUUGGCAAAAUUUCCAGAAAAUAUUAUUGUAAUUCAGAAUGCAUAGUGAGCUCCUCUGACAGACACUGCAGUAAACUGAACACAGACCUUGGUCAGGCGUAGGUUUGCUGAAGUUUCCAUGUACUCUAAUCACUGAAUAAAUGACAUAGUUAAUCUGGGCAAACAGCAGAUAGGAGGGCAUUACAGGCCUGAUUUGAAUUAUUAUUACAGGAAACCUUUCAUUGUGCAAUUGUUUCUCUGUUCUACAUUUGGUUUCAGAAGUAGUUUGACUGUUGACCUCUCUCUUUUCUAAAUUGGAUCAUAAGAAAACAAAAUCAUAUAUCAAAUAGCAUCUGUGUUCUUAUGGACUUCUCAAGACUGGACUGAGCCUCAUAUUAGCAUGGUUGAUUUUUUUUUUUAACCAGAGUAGAGUGAGCUAACAGGUUAUAGAAAACUAAAUAAUGAAUAAUUUAAUCAUUUGCAUCAUAAAACAGUUAUAUUAGGAAUAUUGGAAUCAGAGAAGCAUAAGAUAAUACAGGCUAGAAGUCUUGUCCAACCAAUUGCUCAAAGUUGGACCAAUUUAGAGAAGGUGAUAGCAAUUUACAGCAUCUCUGAGCAACUUCUUUUAGUUCUGUUAAGAGUAGUAGAAAAAGCUUGGGGAGAAAAAAAAAAAAGAGUAAAUCUGAAGGUAAAGAGACCUCUUGAAUGCAUUUGUCAGAAUACAGACAAUAUCUACAUUUUUGGAAAUAAUUAUAGCUGGCAACGGCAGAUACAUUUCAAAGCCAUUGGACUUGAUUUUUGUAGGUCCCUUCCAAUUGAAAUAUUCUAGUUUACUGUUCUUAGAUACUACUACAGCAAGAUGUAAGAAAUAGGCAAAGCUCUAAGCAAAACAGUAAAAAAAACAUUAGUUCUCAGAUGUAAUAUUGUGUUAUUAACCCUUCACUUCAACCAGAUACUGUCCUGUACUUUACUGUGAAGUACAUAAAUUCAGAAGACACUCAUGGAACAUGCCCAGAAAAAAAGAAAUCAUUUCUGAAUACAACUUGCAGAAGGUCCCAAGAGCCUCAUUCAGAAAUUUGGAGACAGAAUUUCAACUGCUGACUUUUUAAAUGAGUUUUCAUUAACUCGUUUCCAUUAAUCUUCGGAAUCUGAGAGUAGCUCCCUCUCAUUCAUACUCUAUACUAUAAAAAAAAAAAACCCUAGGGAAAUUUAUCUUCUGUAAAUGACUCUAUUAAAGGAGCAGAACAAUAUUGCAUGAAUGAAAUGCAAGAAAAUCAGAAAUCUUUGAUUUUUCAAUGAGAAAUUAUGGUUUUCUCUGCCACUAUCCAUUUGUUUGAUGGCUUUAUUCUUAGAUAUGUAUUUGCAGCAUGGCUUUCAUGAAGACCACAUAGCUCCUUGCAAACCUAUGUUUCUUGCAUUAUGGUUUUGGUUUCUAUAUGUCUGCCAGAGGUGACAUAGAUGAAUGGAGGUAUGUAACUUUUGAGGCCAUAUAAAGAUACAGAAACUAAAAAUAGUGGUAAUUACU